AUAAUUGUAUAAUAUUCAUGGGAUAGAAUUCUGUGUUUUAUUAUAAUAAUUUAUCAAAGCUUUCAGGUCAAUGCUAUUGUUGCAGAAAGAAAUAUUUUUACCAAUGUUAAAGAUUAAAUUUUGCAAAACUUCAUUUACAUGUAUCAUACAAUUUGUAAAAAAAAAUUCUUUCAAACAAACAAUUCCACAUUUAGAGUACUACACACAAAUAUUUGGGAUAAGUUUUUACAUUGUUGAUCAAUUUAAGAUAUUUUUAAGAUGGCAGUGAAGGAACCCACUGGUUUUUAGCUCACCGAGCUGAAAGCUCAAGUGAGCUAUUCUGAUCACAUUUUGUCUGUCGUCCGUCUGUCUGUCUGUCUGUCCGUCCGUCCGUCCGUCUGUGUUCACGAGAGAAUAUUUAUUGGGUUCAAUUUAUGUCAUUGGAACACUUAUUGGGUACUUUUGAUUUAUUGGGUAUACCCAAUAAUCCAAUUGCUUUCAUUGUGUUCCAGAGACAUUUACUGGGUAUUGGAUAACACAAACCCAAUAAAUGUUUGUCUGAGAUUUGUCUAUGAAAUCUAGUCCAUCUAAUGGACUUUACUGUUUGUUGAAAUCAAAUUCUUUCGGAAUGCCUUUGGUUUUAUCAUCAACAAUGAAGAAUUCAGAAGAGUUCCAAACAACUAUGACAUGUGAUAAGAUUAUCCAAUCAGAAAGUAGCAAUGGCUACUGAAACAGAUGCUAGAUGAACAUAUCACCUGGAACUAGAAAAAACUCAUUCAAGGCCUUAUUGCUAUCUGGAUAAGAAUAAUCAUGUGAUGAUGACCCUUUUGAUUUAGCACCUGGAAGUAGAAGUCAAGCCUGGAUAAGCUUUUUAAUGAAUCACAUGAUGAUGAUGAUGAUCAGAGCUAUACUGACAUCUGGACAAAGAGCAAAAGUGGAUCGAGGCCUAGAUUCACAGUUUAAAGGUUGAAAGUUUUUGUGAACAGAAUUUAGGUUAGCAACACAGAAAAAUCACUGCAUGCAGACCUUUCAACUCUGGAAAAGAAACCUUGGACACGCAAGACCUUGUUGAGGCCAGGGGCAAGAAAUAGCAAGCAGUCUACCUGACCUACAACUGUGAAAUUCACUACAUUGCAUUUUCAAUACAGACACAUUUUGCCGGAAAAAGAAUCUGACUUCACAUUACGAAAUUUUAACAAGAAAGAGGCAAUUUGAUGAGCUUUCAUUCAAGAGGUCCCUCGUUGCUGAACGAAAAUUAAGGCUUUGGAGCUAUGAACCUGAACGUUAACAUUACCGCCUAUGGAAAUGCAUUAGUGGACUAUACCAAUAUUGAACUCCAUGCUGAUACCUUGUAUAUUGAAUUGGAACUUCAUCAAAGAUUAAAACACAACAAUGAGACACACUAGAUGAAGUAAAAUUUAUUUUUGUAACAAUGAUGUCUACCGGGUAAUUACACUUGUCCAAGUUUGAAAGAAGGAACCUGUAAAAACUAUAUAUUCAGUAUUUGACAUGCAGAUAAUUACUGGGAAACUUUAUAUUGAUUAUACAUAUUUCACAGACUUAGUGGGUAUUUUUAUUCUUUUAGUAAAAUCUAAGUCAAAGUUUAAAAAUUCUUGCUUUACUGUGGCUUCAAAGGCCAGUACAUA